rnacentral:lncRNA from 1 species
GAUUUCAUGUUUUCCAGGUUAGCCUGGAACUUACUACACAGCUGAAGAUAUCCUUAAAUUCCUGGUUCUCCUGGCUCUAUUUCCUGAGUGCUGUGACUUCAGGGUCCAUAAAUCUUGUGAUGUGAGCUCAUGGACUUUAAGCAGCCUCAAGAACUUUGAAGAAUGAAAUAUUUAGCAAGGAGACAAGUGACUGCUGUUAUGGAAACGGAUAUUACCCACCCAGCAGUGGUGUGUUCUAAGUGCUUGACAUUCCAAUCUUAAAACCCAAGAAGUGGGUCUGUGAGGUGGCUCCACAGGUGGAGACGCAUUGCAGGCCUGGAGACCCAGGCUGGAUGGAUUCUCGUGACCCAGCUGUUUUACAGACACCUGGGAAUGAGUGCUGUUACUGUAUCAGUGAGUCUGGCCUGGCGGAAACUAAUAUCAAGUCGCUCUGCAAAUUGUCUGAAGACUUCACCAAUAUGACCAGGGCAUCUCUCGGUUCCAUCUUCCUGGCAAUCUUCACUGUUCCCAAGGCUAGCCCCACUCAUAGAGCUUGUGGUAAUCUAUUUUUUUCUCUUAGCACCUUGCCUUCUCUGCUUUCUCCAGGAACAGAUUCCUGAGGUCUUUAGCAUGGUUGACUGAAUGCUUCUUCACCCAUACCUCCCUCUGAGCAUGAGCCCACAGACCC